UUAAGGCUAAGCUGCCUAUGCCUGCAAAACCAAUUUUUCAAGACAUCCUAGCCACGCAUCAGCUUUAUGUCCAAGCUGCUAGCUGUAUUCCCAGCUAAUUAUGAUUUCAAACCCAUUCAUUUCAAAAGCAAAACAAACCAUCCUUAGCCUCAUUUCAAAACAAAUGUAAGCAUAUCCAACAAAGCAAACCUCAUUCCAAAACAAAAAAAGAAAACUCAGUUUCAAUAAAUCUACCUAAACAAAAUUUAUUUUUAAUCCUAAAACAAACUUCAUAUAAUGUAUCCUUUCAUUUUAAUAGUGAAAUAUAAACAAGGAUAGAGAAUAGAACAACAAAAAUGAGAGUGAUACACACCGAAAAGAAGAAGGCGGUAGCAAUGCGCGGUUGAUGGUGGUUAGCGACGAUUAUCGGCGGAAGUGAAGUUAAAACAGGAACAGAUGUAUCAAUAGGCAUGGCUUGUGCAUCAAUGGCAGUCAGCAUCAACAUAGCAGAGUUUGACAGUGAACAAAGUCAACAUAGCAUGGCUUGAUCUGAUUUAAUUUUUAUUGUAAUUUAUUUUUGGCUUUAUUCUUAGUUUGUAAUUUGAUUUGGUUUUAAAAACUCUAAUUAGAUAAAAUUGUAAAUUUAUGAUACAUAAUAAAAAUAUUUAUUGUAAUUAUUUUUAUUUUCUUUUUUAAAUACAUAUUUUCUUUUUUA